AUAUAUAUAUAUAUAUAUAUAUAUAUAUGGAGUGGCUAUGUGCUAAGUAGCUUGCUUACCAACCACAUGGUACCGGGUUCAGUCCCACUGUGUGGCACCUUGAGCAAAUGUCUUCUACUAUAGCCUCAGGCCAACCAAAGUUUUGUGAGUGGAUUUGGUAGACGGGAACUGAAAGCAGUCCAUUAUAUAUAUAUAUAUAUAUAUAUAUGUAUAUAUGCACAGAUAUAUAUAUUUAUAUAAAUAAGGAUAAGAUCGUUAUUUAAAAUACUGAUCAUAUCAAAUGGGCUUCCACACAGUUUCUUAUUUCUUUAUUGCCCUCAAGGAGCUAAACAUAGAGGGGACAAACAAGGACAGACAAAGGGAUUAAGUCAAUUACAUCGAUCACAGUGCGUGACUGGUACUUAAUUUAUCAACCCUGAAAGGAUGAAAGGCAAAGCCAGCCUAGGUGGAACUUGAACUCAGAACGUAACGGCAGACGAAAUACCGCUAAGCAUUUCACCUGGUGUGCUAAUGUUUCUGCCAGCUCGCCGCCACACAGUUUCUGUCAACCAAAUUCACUCACAAGGCAUCGAGUUAGCCCAGGACUAUAGUGGAGGACACUUGCCCAAGAUGCCAUGCAAUGGGACAGAACCCAAAACCAUGUGGUUGCAAAUCAAGCUUCUUAACCACCUGUGAAGUAUAUUUAAGAGAUGAGAAAUUAUGUACAAUAUUUACAUUAUUUACAUUUGACGGAUAUUUGUCCUCAUCUUGUUUGUCGUUAACACAACGUUUCGGCUAAUAUACCUUCCAUCGAAAAAUACCUUAGGAAUGAGAACCUAGGUUCGAAAUUUACCCAAGACACCUGAUGAAUGCUGGAGGGUAUAUCAGCCAAAACGUUGUGUUAACAACAAACAAGAUGAGGACAAAUAUCAGUUGAAUGUAAAUAAUGUAAAUAAUGCACCUGUGAAGUAUUCAGCAAAAAGCUUGAAAAGCCAGAAGCCAGGCAUUGAUUUUAAUAAGAGGAAGAGAGAAAAAUGCAUCCAAUGAGCUGGGGUGAAUGUUAGGGUGUGCAGUUAGCUAGUUUAUAUGAACAGAGACUGCUGUAGUAGAGGUGGCAGGAGAAACGAGAGGAACUAUUUCAUGUAGUAAACUUGUGAAUUAGUAUUUUAAAUAAGUUGAAUCAAACUUCUUUUUGAUGUAGUCUAGGAUGAGCUUUUUUAUUUUGUGUGUGUGUGUGUGUGUGCAUUUGUGCACACAUGUAAGCAGCAAGGAACCGUAGCACUGCGUUAAAUGUAUCAACAGUGAAUAUUCUAAUCUGGAUUGCAAAUGAACUUAUUAGAGAGUUAAUAAGUGAAUCAGUCUCCAAAUAGUUUCUGGCACUGAAGAGAAAGUUCAUUCUUCAGGUCAUAAUUUUGGCACAAAUAUAUACGUAAGCGUCAUCCAACCAAAAUGCAAAUAUAUGGGAAACUACCACCUGUGUCAUCUCUUGUGAAAGGUAGGAGAGUCCAGUUUGCUGGACAUUGUUGUAGAGCUGAAAACGAGGUAAUUUCUACUCUUCUCCUCUGGAAGCCAUCUACUCGCGAUACCAGAGGGCGCACACUCUCCUACCCUGAUGUAAUCUCCAGGGAUACAGGCAUCCAGCAACAGGACCUCCGUAAUGCUAUGAUGGACCGUGAAGUCUGGCGUCGCAUAGUGAAUUCCAUUGUCUCAACCACGGUCAAACAAUGAUGAUGAUGAUGAUGUGUGUGUGUCUGUGUGUGCAUAGUCUUUUAUUAAAACUGAAGCCGAGAGUUUGUCUCACAACUCAAGUUUCAUGCCACAAUGAUCUUCAGGCGAGUUUUGCCUGAAGAUCACAGUGACAGGAAACUCAAGUUGCAUGACAAACUCUUACUUUCAGCUUUAACAAUAAAAAAAAGCCCCAUAUAACCUCCACAUAUAGUGAGCACUCCUUUCUCAUUCAUCAGACAUUAAGACACACAAACUCACACACACACACAUAUAUAUAUAUACAGGGUGCAAUGGGUAAAUUGUCGCCAUUUUAUAUUUUUAAUUUCAUGCAUGCACAUUGUUUGUUUUUAAUUUUGUCGACUACACAGUAUAGUAGGGUCAGCUGAGCACUGUCUCUGAGAAAAACAGCACCAUGAUGUAAUUCACUGUGCCAGAAAUUUGGAAACAUGCUGUACUGUUUAGCAUUCAUGCCAGAAGCUCCAAUACAAACAUUGAUUGGGUGUCAAUCUGAGGACAUGUCCAAGAGUGAUAAAAAUCAAACAACCAAUCAACAUCAUGGUCUUUGAAGUAAUCGCCAGUGAUGGUGAUGUUAUGCCCCCGUUAAUCUUCCCACGCAGCCUCAGACUCAACAUGAAGUCCUACAUCAAGUGCCUGGAGGAGGUAGUGCUGUCCUGGGUCAAGAGGUUGGCUGCUUGAAGACCCUAUGUCUGGCAACAAGACUCUGCACCAUGCCACACAAGCAAGAGAACCCAGUCAUGGCUGUCACACAAUUUCUGAAGCCAAAUCCUCCCUAACCUCUGGCCACCUAACUCCCCAGACUGCAACCCCUUUGAUUAUUAUGUGUGGGGUACAAUUGAAUGAGAGACCAAUGAAACCCCUUGUAACACCAAAGAUGAACUAAAGGCAAGGAUUAUAGCAGCAUUCACCAAUUUAAACAAAGAGACCUUCCAUAAGAGUUGCAGGAGAUUCCAAAGUCGUCUGGAGGCUGUGGUUGAAGCCAAUGGCGAUUUUAUUCAAUAAAUUUAUUCUUUAGUAUUUCAAGAUAAUUUUUAUGUAAUUUUGGUAAAUAUAUCUGUUAAAAUGAGAUGUCAGUGUUAUUUUCAUUCAUGGGUAAUUUAGACGACAGUUUAUUCACUGCACCCUAUAUAUGCAUAUAUAUAUAUAUAUAUAUAUAUAUAUAUAUAUAUAUAUAUAUAUAUACUAUAUACACACACACACAUAUAUUAUAUACUCAUACAUAUAUACAUACACAUACACACACACGCAGAUAAAUAUGUAUACAUAUAUAUACACACACAUGCAUAAACAUAUUCACACACACACACACACACAUCACUCUUUAUGUCAGAAAAUCAUUCAUAUAUUUGUCAAUAGAGUAUAUUAAUAUUUUCACAAUACCAAAUUAUAGACUCAUUUCAGCCAAUUUUACCAAUCAGUUUUGCAUACAAUAAUGUCAGUAUAUUUACUAAUUAGUAAAAGUCAACUAAAAUGGGUCUAUAAUACAAUAGGGCUGCACUAAUACUCAGCUGGUACUCAUUUUCAUUUGCACAGACUAGAGUAAUAUGAAAUGAAAUGCCCUACUCAAGGAUACAACAUGCCACUUAGAGCAGGAAUUGAACUUGUGACUUUUGGAUCAUAAGCUGAACAACUAAUCCACUAGGCCACACAUCUUCACAAAUAUAUAUCUGUGUGUGUAUGUGUGUGUAUGUUUUAUCUCUGGGUUCAAUAGAUACCCCAGUGGUAGAGGAGGCGCCAGUUAUUUUUGACAAAGCUGAAGAGAAGGCAGCUCUUCUCAGAGAAAGAUACUCUGACAUAUAACUUGAAAUCAAAAUGGUACCAGCCAUCUUGUAAUGCUUGUCACUUAGAUCUACUAUUGCAACUGAGAGUGUGACAAAAGUGUUGCACAAGCUUUUGUUACUUGAAUCCAAUGAUAGACACAUGUCUAACUAUCAGUUCAUUUCUCAAUGUGUUUUGUAUUUUACAGAGGCCUAUGGUGAUGGCUAUCUGCACACAUGUAAGGAUGAAAAUAAAUCAGAACAAUCAGGCUAUCAUCUGACAAGAUGAAGCAAUCAUCAUGUAUAUAUGUAUACAAGUAUGUAUGUAUGUAUGUAUGUAUGUAUGUAUGUAUGUAUGUAUGUAAACUUAAAAUGAGGGUGAGAAAUUGGAUAUUAAUUUAAUUAACAGCAAUUUAACACCAGUGGUCUAGCAUAUUAAAAUCUAAAGGUUCAGUAAAUUGUAUUAUAUAUAUAUGAGAGGGAUGACCACAAUGUGUUUGCUAAAUUUUUCUUGAGAACAUUUCUUAGUGGUAAGACCAUAGCAGAUCUACUUCUAGCAUAAAGGUUGUCCACAUAGUGGUCAUCCCUCUCAUAUGUAGUGGUUGGCGUUAGGAAGGGCAUCCAGCUGUAGAAACCCUGCCAGAUCAAGAUUGGAGCCUGGUGCAGCCAUCUGGUUCGCCAGUCCUCAAUCAAAAUUGGAAAGCGGACGUUAAACGAUGAUGAUGAUGAUGAUGAUGAUUAUGAUGAUAACCCUAACCCUAACCCUACCGUCUACUCGCAAUACCAGAGGGCGCACACUCUCCUACCCUGAUGUAAUCUCCAGGGAUACAGGCAUCCAGCAACAGGACCUCCGUAAUGCUAUGAUGGACCGUGAAGUCUGGCGUAGCAUGGUAAAUUCCAUUGUCUCGACCACGGUCGAACAAUGAUGAUGAUGAUGUAUGUAUGUAUUUAUGCAUGUAUGUAUGUAUGUAUGUAUGUAUAUAGGUAUAUCAUGUGUGUGUGUGUGUGUGUGUGUGUGUGUGUGUGUGUGUGUUUGGAUGUACAAUUUAGAGAAACGGUACUCAACCCAUACAGUUGAGUUUUCCUUCAUCUAUUAAAUCUUAAAUUACUAUUUUGUGUCUAAUCUUAGAAAAAAAAAAAGAAAAAGGAACAUCCAAAAGAAUUGAAGAAUUCAGAUUAGCAAAAAGGAAUGAUGCUGGUUUUGAUCUUCAGUUCUACUCGGCUAACACCUAUAUGUGCAGCUUCUGCACAUGACUAUUUCUAUAAGUGCAGUUUCUGUGCAUGCAAUGUGACACUAGUAUACACAGAGUAGCAUCUACAUGUACAGUACAGUGCAACCAGUAAAUUUAAGUAUGUGUUUUCAAAAAAACGAAUUUAUUAUUCUUUCUAAAUUCUUGCUAAACAAAUACAAUUUGUACUACAGAGACUUACUAAUAUUGAUAAGUAUAGUUUUAAUUUUUUUUUGUACCUUAUUUUUUUUUAUUAUUAUAUUUAUUUUAUUUAAUAUUUGUAAUUGGC
rnacentral:lncRNA from 1 species